GGCGUAUUCUCCGUAGCAUUCAAAUACGGUUCAUUAAGUGAGUAAUUGACAACAGCUGGAUUUGCAUCAUCGCUUGGUUCAAGAAAGCAUUCAUCUUUGACUGAUUUUGCAUCAGCCUCAUAGUGCUCUGGCAAGUCAACAAACUUUAGGUCCUCAGGACUUUGUGAGGUCAUAUAUUCAUUUUUUUACUGGAUUUCCAACCAUCUCAUGAUGCUCUGGGUAGUUAAAGAACAUCUGGUCUCCACGGUAUUCCAAAGUUUCCCCAGUGCCUAUCACAGCCUUUGUAUCAUCUUCAACAAAGUCCCCAGAAUGCUCAAUGUAGUGGCUCGUCUCCCCAUAAUAGAAGUUCGAUGGAGGAGGUGCACUUUCAGAUGGAAUUCCUGUGUCAAGAUUCUGGGAAAGAAAGAUUUUAUAAAUAAAAAGUAUUUAUAACUGUACAAUAUCAAAGCAUGACCUAGUAGAUCAUGUGAAAUACUACAAAGGUGAAUCAAAGACUAAACUGACAGAAAAUGGAGGCCCCUGCCAUAUAAUAUAUUUAUAUACCUAAUCAAUCUAUAUGCUACUAUUUAUGAAAACCCUAUUGUCAACCAAAGAUGGUGAACGUCAAUUAAACCCUCUUUAAAUUAAAUAGUUGAGUAAUAUGUGCAUAAAAUAUAGUAAUUUAAUAUAAAAAAUUAGAUCAUAUGCAAAGAAUGUGUAAAAUAGAACGAAUAAGAUCAAGAUGAUGGAGAUGCCCAUGAACAGAUGGAAAAAGGUAGCAGAAGUUUUCAUUUCUACUUUGCCGUCGUAUAAAGGUUCAGAUGUAAAGAUUAAUCAUCUUGAUAUUUUCUAUCAUGAGUAAUGCAUUAUUCUAGAUCACAAAGAUCUUUUCAAUCUCUCAACUACAGCAUCAACUCAGUUCCUUUAGUUCGAAGUGUUGUACUUUUAUGCGCAAACGGAAGCGAAUUAUAACAAAAGUACCAAAUAUCAAUGUCGUAGGCGAAAGCUAAAACAAACAAUCUCAAACUGACACAAGAGAUUUACGUGGUUCGGCGUAAAGCCUACUCCACGGGCGAAGCACGGCGAGGAAUUUCACUAAACAAACGGAAAUUACAAAAGAGUGUUUAAACUCUCACAACCCAAAUCCCACAAAUUACAAACCCUAAACCAAAUGAGUAGAGAACUCAAACCUAACGGAGAAGAUUCUCCCAAAUUGCUCUCUAACUUACAAACUCACAAAUUGACUCUCACCAAAUUGCCACACGAAUGAGCCACACUAAAUACACUAACCCUAAGGUCCUAUUUAUAGUGCAUAGGACUUAGGUUACAAUAGGAAUCCUAAUAGGAAAUAAAUCCAAAUCCUAAUCAAAUAGGUAAUUAACAAAAUCUCUUCACCAAGGAAACUAACUAAGGCCUCGUUUGGCAGCUCGGACUGUACUGACUAUUUCUGUCGGAUAGGAUAAAUAGCCACCGGAUAGUACUGACUAAAUUAGUCGGGCGUUUGGUGCAGUAUCGGAUUAAUGACCGUAUUAUUUAUACUGUGUUUGGUAUUGAACCGGAUAGGACAAGAGAAAAAAAAUUAACAAAUCUUUCUUAGCUUUUAGACUCUAAUAUAAUGCUUUAUUGAUUCGUAUAAAGAUACAAGCAACUUUGGUACUAAUUUUGAGUUAAGUUUCCUGCCUUGUGUUUUGUUAAUUUGAUAUUAUUUUUUUUUCCAUUCUAAUUUGGCCUCUGUGGUUGUCACGUAUAUAUUCACACAUAUCUAUAUCCAGAUAAAAAUUCCAAUCAACAAUUCAACAACCCUAGUCCGAAAUUCAACAAUUCAAUGCCAAUCAACAAUUCAACAACCCUAGUCCGAAAUUAUUCACACAUAUAUAUAUCCAGAUAAAAAGUCAAAUUCACAUAAAAAUUAAAAAAAUGGAUAGAGUGAUGUAAAACACAAAUUUACAUAAUCAAUUGCAUAAUUAGAGAGAAAAUAAUAAAUAGAUUCAAUCAAUUGCAAGAAAAAUAGGAGGGGGAAGAAUAGAGGGAGGGGCGGAAUCCCAGAAGAAGAAAAUUGAAAAGACGAAAAUGUGAUUCAAACGAAGAAGAAGACUGUGAGAAGACAUACCUGGGAUGAGAGCAAGAUGGCGUCUGGAGAGGAAGAGAAUGAAACGCUGCGUUAAGAGGUUGCGGUGGUGGUGGUGGGGGAAUCGAAAUUUUGGGGAAAGAAUGGGGAAGUUGAGGGAAAUAGGAUGAUGGUCUUUCAAAAAAGGGAACUGUGGGAUUUUGCUAAAUUUUUGGUUCGAAGAUUUUUGUCAGAUCUGGUGGAAAAUGGAAAAAUGAAAAGAAAUGGAAGGAGGGUAAAACGGAAGAUUGCAUCGGGAGAGAAAGCGAAAGAUUGCGUCGGGAGACAAGAGAGCCCGACUAAUUAUACCGUGAAAAUGGAUGGUAUAAGCAAGCGGGUACACACCGUGUAAAAAAGGUGGGCCCGGAUUAUUUAAUCCGGUGCUUAUUUAAUCCGAACUGUCACCAAACACCGUACACCGUAUUAUUAAUACUAUCCGAUCCGUUAUACGGUGUGCCAAACAGGGCCUAAGAAGUCAAAACCAAACCCAAAUAGGACACCAAAACCAAAUAGGUAACACAAACCUAAUUUAUUGCAUCAUCCUAAUUUUGAGCCAAAAACCCAACACGAAGAUGCUUUUCAUGGCACCGGCCAGGACCAAGAAUACUUUGAAAUUCAUUACGUUAUUCUACGAUGUCGUCCAAAUUUCAAUUUGUCCCUGUUGAGGAUAAGAUCUAUGAACUAGUUAAGAGUAUCACGUGACAAUAACAGACAAAAAUUACAGCGUGCAUUGAACUUAGAAUAAGGGGACAUCUAAUAGGUUAGAGGAGAUAUCAUCAAUAAUUAACAAAUCUCCAGGUCAGAUUGCAACAAUACGGGGUUGAGGUAGAGUGAUGGAGCAUCAGGGAGAGAGGGAGAGUGAGGGAUGGGGAGACAACAGGCAAAUACCCAAAAAAAUGUCCCUCUAAAACACACCAUUUGGAACUCUUUGUCAACGAAGAUCAUCCAGAUCCAUUUUAAAAGGACACCAAGAUUCUACCAACUUUUAGAAAAUUGUAGUCCAUAAAAAAUUAUAAACACAUCAAGGUAUGGUGAUUAUUCAAGUAAUAUCAAUGCAACAUUAACUUGUAAUACUGCAUUUAAAGUUCCUUUGAUGGAAUGUUCUGCUGUGAGUGAACAUUACCUGUUUCAGUAUUCUAGGUUAGACUGUUACACACAUUGAUGAUGCUCUUUGAAUGACUAUAUAAAAUGCAAUACAUGAUUUCACAACUACAUAAGCCAAGUUCCACAGAGGAAAACUUUUUGUGACAGAAAAGGCAGGGUAUUGCAUUCCAGAUAAAUUUAAGAAUGCAACUAAAAUUUAAACAAAGUAUGUAAGGCUGACAGCUACUGCAGAUGGAUAAACUCUAACCAAGUUUCAACCUUAAUAAAGUUGAAAAAAAAAAAAGAUGACCAAAAUUCUGAUAAGAAAAAGAAGUUGGGAGUGCUAAUGACGUAGUUGCUCUGAAGCUUAUCCAGAACAAAAGAAGAGCAGCAUCAUAAUCAACCAUAAGAAAAAACCUAUUUGAGUAACUAUAAGCCAGCCUUAUUAGGACAACAACCUUGGGCGAAGUGUCAGCAGAAUUGCAUUCUCUCUCUCUCUCCUCUCAUGCUUUGUGGAUUUUAUCAUAGUAUGAUUGAUGGUUUUCCACAGGUAACUUCUGGCAUUUAAAUAUGGAGCUCCAAGCGGUGGAUCUUUCAUUACCGGGGGAAUGCAUAGCAGGGAGCUGCCCAAGUUUUUUCGCAAAUACUUUGGAUAGACAUGGAAGCAAUGGUCAGAUAAUGUGCACAAUAAUGCCUUGUCUGGAAGUUCUGAAUCUUUGAACAUUUUGUUGGAGCUUGGUGGAGAUUUCGACAGUCAUGGAAUGAACCUGCAAUAUGGUCCCUUUUUCCGGGAUCUGCUGCAUUACCUCCUUUAUUUCCCAGUCUUCCCUUGUCACCUCAGUUAUGGAAAAAAACCCAUGGGGAGGUACGUCUGAAGCCCUUCAGUUCCAUCAGAAUACAAUUCUCAACUAACAUACAUGUGUUGACUGGGGAGCACAUGCGUACCAUGCAAAUGAUCCCACUUUCUCCGUUGCUGCUUUCAGAGGAGAGAAAAGGAAACCCCGAGGGACCGGAACGUACAUCCCAAAUCCGGUAGUGACAAUUUUGUUUUCUAUAUAAUCAUUUUUUCAGACUGCAUUCCUGUAAUUUUAUAUUCAUGAGCUUUAUAUUUUUGGGUUUAUUUUUCUAUGAAGUCAUUCUCAGCAGAGGACUAGUCCUGGUUUUCAUAAUCUCAUGGUCAUCUUAUUACAGUCUUUUCAGAAUUACCGUUCCUUAAAGGAUAGGUUGCCUGGAAGGGGAAGGAAACAGACACCAGGAAUUUGUUUUCCAUUUCAGAGACACGCCUUUGAUUAUGGCUUCACUGUAGCUCCUCAAGAGUCAGUCUCACCUAGAGAAUGAAGCCGAGAGCUCUCAGAAGCGGAGUACCCAGUUUUUAAGUCAUGGAAACUCCAACAUUAGAUUACCAUUAACCUCACAUUCCUUUUUGGGAAUCUUUUCAUGACAACAGUUUCUCCAACUUGCAAGCGAAACUCAACUCUAGAUCCUCAUCCCUUCAGUUAAGGAGGAGGCACCCAUGCCAGAAUUGAAUCAUCAAGCAAAGUUGUUUGGAGCCGAUGAGGAGAGGUAGUUGGAUUUGGUAAUUUGAAGUAGUCCUCCUGCACAAUAGCUUUUCUUCAAAAGCUAAAGUUCUCUUGUUGAUGUCCACCACUCACCCCUCAAGUGCCGUUGAAGGAAGGAUUAUGCAUUGGAGAAUGAAGACGCUUAUGACGGUAGGUGCUAAUACACUAGACUGAGCUUCCGGCAAGACUUGUUCCUCUCAGCCUCGAUAACCUUGGGGACCUCUGUUGUUGGUAGUUUCGAUGUAGAAUACAUAUGUUGUACAUGCUGAUUCCUUUUCUUUUUCGUUUCAUAUCUAUGCGCACAUUUGUGCGCUUUCAUUGGGUUGGGUGGCUGAUGUAUAUACGGGGCAAAGUUUGCCCCUCGGCUUGUCAUUCCCCUCCCAAAGUUUCUAGUUCUAAACACACUACUGAGAAACCUUUGUCAGGUAUUUCGGCUAGAACUGGUUAGCAUACACAUGAUGAGAUAUAUAAAUGUAACCAGGAAAAUUUUGGUUAUGUUUAGGUUUUUUUUCGGUCAGAAUGUUACUAUGAAUUGAUGAAAGUUUAUUUUGGUCAAGUUCAUUUGUUUUAAGUGAAGUCGUGAUAGUUGCAGGUCUGAGUUUAAUCAAGUUUCCUAGAAAAAUGUGUUUUAUCUUCUCAGUAAUCGAGUUUGAACACUCUCCGAAAUUUAGGUUUUAUAUUAACUUAGAAUAUUUGUACUAAAAAAAUGAAUCAGCUACAAGGGUUACCAUCUAGGAACCCUGUGAUUGACACAAGAUGAAUAAAAUUGUAGCAUGUAAGGGCUCGUUUGGUGCCUCGAUUCAAUUGGAUAAUAAGGUUGAGGUGAAUGAUUUUUCAUUUCUGAGGAGGAUUUGAAAUGGUUAGACAUGAAGGAGACUCUUCAAAUCCUACCGAUUGUUUGAUUGUUUGCUCCUAAAAUCCUACGUUUUUGUGAGAAUUUAUUAAGUAAUUCUUCUACCCUCAUGUUGGACAAAGUCAUUCAUUUCUUCCUUCAGCACGUCUUGAGAUAUCCAAUCCAAUCUAAUCCCACCAAAUCAGCCCUAAAAUGAUAAAUCCACCAACUAUAUCCCUUGAGGGGUACCUGAUCCAGUUUGUAGCUGAGGGAUAAGUAUGAACAUGCAAACCGAAUCCAUCAUAGGGCACCAGUGGUCUAGUGGUAGAAUAGUACCCUGCCACGGUACAGACCCGGGUUCGAUUCCCGGCUGGUGCAUACCUUUUUUCCUUUUUUUUUUCUUUUUCAGAAAAGAGAUUUACCUGUGACCUUUAUUUUAUUUUAUUAUUAUUUUUUUCAAAAAAGAACCUAAUGAAAAGGAUAGUUUUGUCCACUCCAGAAUCCAUAUUUCCAACCACACGGUCUCCCGCCAACCUGACGACGUGGCAAUCGACUUUUGGGAAGAAACCAAUUAAGUAGGAAGAAGAGGGAAUAGGAUCAUUUCUUGAGAUUUGGAUGAUCAAUCAAUCAUUUCUGUUUAUAGUAUAUAUAUGCGGUUAAAAUUUAUUUAAAAUUUAAAAUUUAAAAUUAAAUAUAAAUAGUAUCUAACGAAAAUUGGUUGCACAAUGUAUGAUGAACGGAUACAAUUAAGUUGUUUUGUCCCUCACAUUAUUUAUUCUUAAUUUAAUUAUUAAUUAUUAUAAAAAGACUAUAUGUUUAAACUUGAACCGUAUAUUAUUAUUAUUAUAUUCUUUAUCAAAUUGGCUGAAUUCAUUUGAUCUGUCCAUUUCAUGCUUCCUCCUUCCUUCAACAUCACAAUAUGCCUUUCAACGGCCUCUGCGGAUAUCAUCCACCACUAACAAAAUGUGGGCGGCUUAACACCCCACAUUUACAAAUUACAAUUCAAUAAGAUAAACAAAUCACAUUUCUGAAUUGUGUGCGUACGCGCAGAUUAAUUAACUCACGAGGAGGUCAUAGUACGAGAGAGGUAGAUGAACUCUAUCAAGAAUUUGUUCGUAUUGAUCUCGUAUUAGUUAUCACGUAUGAUAAAUAAUGAAUUUCUUUGUCAAGUUUAUUUACCUAUUGUAAACAUGAUCGUUAUGCAGGUUGGUAUAUGUAUGUGUGUGUGUGUGUAUUCCUGUGUAAGUGUAAAACUCGUACGAAAAUCUAUGCAGGCGACAUUGACACCCCCAAGUCUUCCUACAGUAUUAGAGCCACAGUUUGUCGUAGCAAAUUACUCAAUCAACAGAUAAACACCAAGGAAAGGAUUAUCUCUGGAUCUCUUCCUUCUAAUCCACCAAAUCAGGGGAUCUGUGUUGCUCAAAAUCUGAUCCAACGGCUACAAACAAGGACCCACUUUAAAAAUUAUAAUAACUUCAACCGUUUGAUCAAAUUUAAACUGCACGGAUCCUCUGGUUUGGUGGAUUAGGAGGAAGGAAUCCAGAGAUGAUCACUUUCCAAACACCAAUGGCAGGCAUAAAACUUGUCUUAUUGUACCUGUUCAUCUUCAUCCUAAUUUUUGUUGGGGAUGUGCUAUNNNNNNNNNNNNNNNNNNNNNNNNNNNNNNNNNNNNNNNNNNNNNNNNNNNNNNNNNNNNNNNNNNNNNNNNNNNNNNNNNNNNNNNNNNNNNNNNNNNNNNNNNNNNNNNNNNNNNNNNNNNNNNNNNNNNNNNNNNNNNNNNNNNNNNNNNNNNNNNNNNNNNNNNNNNNNNNNNNNNNNNNNNNNNNNNNNNNNNNNNNNNNNNNNNNNNNNNNNNNNNNNNNNNNNNNNNNNNNNNNNNNNNNNNNNNNNNNNNNNNNNNNNNNNNNNNNNNNNNNNNNNNNNNNNNNNNNNNNNNNNNNNNNNNNNNNNNNNNNNNNNNNNNNNNNNNNNNNNNNNNNNNNNNNNNNNNNNNNNNNNNNNNNNNNNNNNNNNNNNNNNNNNNNNNNNNNNNNNNNNNNNNNNNNNNNNNNNNNNNNNNNNNNNNNNNNNNNNNNNNNNNNNNNNNNNNNNNNNNNNNNNNNNNNNNNNNNNNNNNNNNNNNNNNNNNNNNNNNNNUUUAUGUAGUAAGAGCAUGAAAAUAAACCUGAGGGAGUAAUGUACCAAGUCAUUUGUUAAAUUUUGAGGUUGUAAUAAGUUUCUGCUGUGCAGCCUAGCUGUAAAUCCAGAAAUGAUAUAGUGUUCUGAUUACCUCAAAUCCUUUGCAAUUCUUAUUUCCUUGAUCGAAAAAAUGUGCAUUAUUUGUUACAUACGAAGUAACACUUCACCGAAGAAAGGUGGAAGUUGAGCUUCCACCGCCUUGAAAGCAAUUGGCGGUAGAAGUUGUCCAACUACUCAUAAACCACAUAUAAGGUCUCUUUAACUUUCCGACAUGAGACAACACUUUGCAGUCUCUCAAUUAGAAAACAAUCUCUCUUCACGAUUUCAAUGUUUCGAUGUUACAGGAGCAUGUCCGAUAUAUAUGAAAGCUACAAUAUUACCAAGCCUUGGUUUGGCACGAGAAAGAUGCAAACUUCAAACCUGCUAAAGUGGCUUCUUUUGUCACUUCCACGCUGCUCACUAAGACCGCAGAUUAUCACGCUAGAGUGAUUCACACCGACCACGUGUUGUUUCUAAUCCACGUGUUAUAAUACAAACAGGCAAACAACUAGUAAGCCUAAUGCAUCCAUUCCAGAGUCGCUCCAAAAGUCCACAUGUUCUCAAGCCAUGCAAGCAUUUCUGCUGAAUUUUCAGAUUGACAGUAAAUUAAGCAAAACUGUUGUAAAAUCAACCCUACAUUAUACUUUGGCAAUGCUUCAACAAAAACAAAAUAGUAACAGAACAAAAAUAUUACAAUCAAAUAAUUUACUGAAACAAAAAUUCAGUUUUACAUUCAUUCAGUAUAUAGUUAUUCAAAAUAGAACAUGCACGUUACGCAAUCUUAUGCAAACGGUUUGUAUAAAUAAUUAGUUCAGCGGUCAGUGUACCAAUUAACUAAAAUAUGGUCUGCAAGAACAUGCUUCUUCCCCUAAUCACUAAGGGAAGCUCACUACAAGAUCCUGAGAUAGGCUCGAAGACCACCUUUAGUGUAGAAGAAUCACCUGGUACAGAUAUAGCUCCCGAUUUUUAAACUCAUGGAAAGAAAUAGGACCCAGAAAAACAUAAACAAAAACCAGCCCCGCAUCACCACACAUCCCGUCUUUCCAGAGAGUGAGCCACCAACUGGCACCAGAUUGCCAGAGUUUCCGUCAUCCUGUGACAGCUGAACAGAAAAGACAAGGUUGACAACCCCAUCCUUUCCAAAAGACCAGUCCAUCCUGUUGUCACUUGAAGUUAUGUCUCUAAUUCUAAUCAUGGCAGCAGUGACAUGAACCGAACUGGAAGAUGCUGCACCAGAAUUUAACCUACGCAUUGCCUCUUUACCAGGGAACUCCGAAGCAAAUGCAGGUGGAGCAGGUAUGCUGCCCAACAUCAUGUGACUUGCCUUUUUGAUGAAGGGGUAGUUACCAUCUGCACCACGAAAAUCGCACACAAACCAGAAGGUGAGAUAAAGACAGCCAUUGACAGCAACAGAAAGUUACUAAUCUAAAGGAUAAGUUACUAAUUGGGGUAUGAUAGCACCUUUGAUAGCUGAAAUAAGAUACUAUACCUGACUCAAACUUGAACUCCGCCGUUUUCUUUGACGAAGAUGCAGAUGCAUCAUCAGUAUCCACUGGUUGUACAAGAUGUUCGCCUCCCAAUGGCUGUGGCUCUGGUUGUACAUGUUCACCUCCCAUUGGUUGUGGCUCGGUCUCACCAUUCACAAGCUGCUAUACAACAGUUUAUCAAAUGAAAGAUGCUACUUAAACUCCAGAAAUACAAAAGGAAAAUGAAACUUGAGAAGCUUGUACCUUCUGGUCAGCUGGAGCUUCGUCAGGAACAUAGUUUUCAACCCCCAUCAUUCCACAUGAAUCGAAAUCAAUAUACUGAGAGAUGUCAUCAUUGGCAUCAAAGUAUGUAAGGUACUCAUCAAGCAUGUCAAAACCUGCAGUUGACUCGACUGGAUUUGAAAGAUCAUUAGCUUCAAGGAAUAACCCAUCACCAAUUGGCGUAUUCUCCGUAGCAUUCAAAUACGGUUCAUUAAGUGAGUAAUUGACAACAGCUGGAUUUGCAUCAUCGCUUGGUUCAAGAAAGCAUUCAUCUUUGACUGAUUUUGCAUCAGCCUCAUAGUGCUCUGGCAAGUCAACAAACUUUAGGUCCUCAGGACUUUGUGAGGUCAUAUAUUCAUUUUUUACUGGAUUUCCAACCAUCUCAUGAUGCUCUGGGUAGUUAAAGAACAUCUGGUCUCCACGGUAUUCCAAAGUUUCCCCAGUGCCUAUCACAGCCUUUGUAUCAUCUUCAACAAAGUCCCCAGAAUGCUCAAUGUAG
rnacentral:lncRNA from 1 species